GACGAACCGUGCGAACGUUGUUCGGAAUCACUGGGCUUAAAGGGCGCGUAGGCGGGCUAUCAAGUCUGGGGUGAGAUCCCGCGGCUCAACCGUGGAACUGCCUUAGAUACUGACGGCCUUGAGGAAGGUAGGGGCAUGCGGAACUGUAGGUGGAGCGGUGAAAUGCGUUGAUGUCUACAGGAACUCCGGUGGCGAAAGCGGCGUGCUGGACCUUUUCUGACGCUGAGGCGCGAAAGCUAGGGGAGCAAACGGG
rnacentral:rRNA from 1 species